rnacentral:rRNA from 1 species
CGUGAGAUGUUCGGUUAAGUCGCUAACGAGCGCAACCUCGCUGUGUGUUACAAGUGUCACACGGAACUGCCGGUCAUAAACCGGAGAAGGUGGGAUGACGUCAAGUCAGCAUGGCCUUUAUAUCCUGGGCUACACACACGCUACAAUGGGAAGGGACAAUAGGUUGCGAAACCGCGAGGUGGAGCCAAUCCAGCAAAACUUCCCUCAGUUCAGAUUGCAGGCUGCAACUCGCCUGCAUGAAGUUGGAGUUGCUAGUAAACGCAGGUCAGCCAUACUGCGUUGAAUACGUUCCCGGGGCUU